GUCUAUGGCCAUACCACCCUGAAUGUGCCCAAUCUUGUCUGAUCUCGGAAGUGAAGAAGCGAAGCAGGGUUUGGCCCAGUUAGUACUUGGAUGGGGGAAGCAUUUGGAAACAAAUCUUUACAGGUA
rnacentral:rRNA from 1 species